ACACCAUAUAUCACGAGUCCUCUCCAAACCGGAGACAAACUCUAUAUCACUAUGAAUCGAAAACGUUACAAGCUUCGUACUAGUCUAAAACCGAAGCCCAUAAGCAGCCCACCAGAUGGCCCAAGAGACACAAGCCUCACAUUCUCCACCUUGACUCUUUGGCCUCACUCAUCGACUUCUCCGUCUCUCUCUCUCUCUCUCCUUUGGCGACCAGAAGCUUCGACGAGCUCACCGCUUCGUCUUCUCGGACGAUCGUCUGUUCCUCGACGCCGUCGUCACCGGAGAUGCAUGCUUCUCUCCGAUCCUUGCUUCUCUCUAUCUCGCCUUUGCUGUAAUCUCUCUCUCCUUCGAUUCCCCGUGACCAAGACAAGAUCCCGACUUCACCGCCGCUCGUCUUCACCGGCGAUUGCUCCCACCGCCUUUGAAAUCUCAGCUCGUGUCUUGAUGAAUCUGUUGUAGCUUUGUGAUUAUCAAGUGACAAGGUCACUCCAAUUCUCCUCACGCUACCUUUUUGAAACUGAACCAUAACUUGUCAAAGACCAAAAAA